UACGAAGGGGGCUAGCGUUGCUCGGAAUCACUGGGCGUAAAGCGCACGUAGGCGGGUCUUUAAAUCAGGGGUGAAAUCCCGGAGCUCAACUCCGGAACUGCCUUUGAUACUGGAGAUCUUGAGUCCGGGAGAGGUGAGUGGAACUCCGAGUGUAGAGGUGAAAUUCGUAGAUAUUCGGAAGAACACCAGUGGCGAAGGCGGCUCACUGGCCCGGUACUGACGCUGAGGUGCGAAAGCGUGGGGAGCAAACAGG
rnacentral:rRNA from 1 species